rnacentral:lncRNA from 1 species
UGUGUGUAUGCAUAUGGGGAACUGAAGAUGCCCAGCCAGAGUUGUGAGCUUCCAGUCUUUCAGCAAAGGAAGAAGAGCUUUAGAAAAAUCAGAGUAAUAUGAUCAGAUCGCCCCACCAGUGGCUCAACAAUCUGUCCUCGUGUACACUUUGAAGAAAGCACAGGUGGUGAAGUGUCUCAUUUCAAGUUGUUGUGGUUUUCUGCCAUGGAGGAAAGUGUUGAAAAAAAAGGGAACUAUACAGCAUAAAGAUGGGUUUUCACAGAUCCUGUCAAGAUAUUCACUGCCCCUACACCCUCCAAAAGAU